GACGAACGCUGGCGGCGUGCUUAACACAUGCAAGUCGAGCGGUAAGGCCCUUUCGGGGGUACACGAGCGGCGAACGGGUGAGUAACACGUGGGUGACCUGCCCUCAGCUCUGGGAUAAGCCUGGGAAACCGGGUCUAAUACUGGAUAUGACUCCAUGACGCAUGUUGGUGGGGUGGAAAGCCUUGUGCGGCUGAGGAUGGGCCCGCGGCCUAUCAGCUUGUUGGUGGGGUGAGGCCUACCAAGGCGACGACGGGUAGCCGGCCUGAGAGGGCGACCGGCCACACUGGGACUGAGACACGGCCCAGACUCCUACGUGAGGCAGCAGUGGGGAAUCUUGCGCAAUGGGCGAAAGCCUGACGCAGCGACGCCGCGUGAGGGAUGACGGCCU
rnacentral:rRNA from 1 species